rnacentral:lncRNA from 1 species
AAAACCCGACCCCGCCUAGUAGGUUCUUAGAGUUCUUCACCCAUCAUGGCAGCCGGUAGAGAGGGAGAGAAAAAAAAGAGGGAGCCAAGCCAGCCGCUUAGGUCAAGUAAAAUGCGCGCCGAGAUCCCCCGGUUUCAGAAUUUUCGUGGGGAUCCUCUCCGCUUUUCUUGCCUAAGCAAAACCCGACCCGCCUAGUAGGUCCUUAGAGUUUUUCACCCAGCAUGGCAGCCGGUAGAGAGGGGAGAGAAAAAAAAAGAGGGAGCCAAGCCAGCCGCUUAGGUCAAGUAAAAUGCCGCCGAGAUCCCCCGGUUUCAGAAUUUUCGUGAGGGAUCCUCUCCGCUUUUCUUGCCUAAGCAAAACCCGACCCGCCUAGUAGGUCUUAGAGUUCUUCACCCAUCAUGGCAGCCGGUAGAGAGGGUGAGAGAAAAUAAAGAGGGAGCCAAGGCAGCCGCUUAGGUCAAGUAAAAUGCGCGCCGAGAUCCCCGGUUUCAGAAUUUUCGUGGGGAUCCUCUCCGCUUUUCUUGCCUAAGCAAAACCCGACCCGCCUAGUAGGUCCUUAGAGUUUUUCACCCACAUGGCAGCCGGUAGAGAGGGAGAGAGAAAAAAAAGAGGGAGCCAAGCCAGCCGCUUAGGUCAAGUAAAAUGCGCGCCGAGAUCCCCCGGUUUCAGAAUUUUCGUGGGGAUCCUCUCCGCUUUUCUUGCCUAAGAAAACCCGACCCGCCUAGUAGGUCCUUAGAGUUCUUCACCCAUCAUGGCAGCCGGUAGAGAGGGGAGAGAAAAAAAAGAGGGAGCCAAGCCAGCCGCUUAGGUCAAGUAAAAUGCGGCCGAGAUCCCCCGGUUUCAGAAUUUUCGUGGGGAUCCUCUCCGCUUUUCUUGCCUAAGCAAAACCCGACCCGCCUAGUAGGUCCUUAGAGUUUUUCACCCAGCAUGGCAGCCGGUAGAGAGGGAGAGAGAAAAAAAAGAGGGAGCCAAGCCAGCCGCUUAGGUCAAGUAAAAUGCGCGCCGAGAUCCCCCGGUUUCAGAAUUUUCGUGGGGAUCCUCUCCGCUUUUCUUGCCUAAGCAAAACCCGACCCGCCUAGUAGGUCCUUAGAGUUUUUCACCCAGCAUGGCAGCCGGUAGAGAGGGAGAGAAAAAAAAAGAGGGAGCCAAGCCAGCCGCUUAGGUCAAGUAAAAUGCGCGCCGAGAUCCCCGGUUUCAGAAUUUUCGUGGGGAUCCUCUCCGCUUUUCUUGCCUAAGCAAAACCCGACCCGCCUAGUAGGUCCUUAGAGUUUUUCACCCAUCAUGGCAGCCGGUAGAGAGAGAGAGAAAAAAAAAAGAGGGAGCCAAGCCAGCCGCUUAGGUCAAGUAAAAUGCGCGUCGAGAUCCCCCGGUUUCAGAAUUUUCGUGGGGAUCCUCUCCGCUUUUCUUGCCUAAGCAAAACCCGACCCGCCUAGUAGGUCCUUAGAGUUUUUCACCCAGCAUGGCAGCCGGUAGAGAGGG